rnacentral:rRNA from 1 species
GUACCCCGGACAGAUGGGAGCUUGCUCCCUGAUGUUAGCGGCGGACGGGUGAGUAACACGUGGGUAACCUGCCUGUAAGACUGGGAUAACUCCGGGAAACCGGGGCUAAUACCGGAUGGUUGUUUGAACCGCAUGGUUCAAACAUAAAAGGUGGCUUCGGCUACCACUUACAGAUGGACCCGCGGCGCAUUAGCUAGUUGGUGAGGUAACGGCUCACCAAGGCAACGAUGCGUAGCCGACCUGAGAGGGUGAUCGGCCACACUGGGACUGAGACACGGCCCAACUCCUACGGGAGGCAGCAGUAGGGAAUCUUCCGCAAUGGACGAAAGUCUGACGGAGCAACGCCGCGUGAGUGAUGAAGGUUUUCGGAUCAAAGCUCUGUUGUUAGGGAA